rnacentral:rRNA from 1 species
GAGCACGUAGGUGGGUUUGUAAGUCAGAUGUGAAAGCCUUCUGUUCAACGGAAGAAUUGCAUCUGAAACUGCGAGUCUUGAGUGUAGGAGGGGAGAAUGGAACUUCUGGUGGAGCGGUGAAAUGCGUAGAUAUCAGAAGGAACGCCGGCGGCGAAAGCGAUUCUCUGGCCUAUUACUGACACUCAGUGUGCGAAAGCUAGGGGAGCAAACGGGAUUAGAUACCCCGGUAGCCCUAGCCGUAAACGUUGGGCACUAAGUAGAGGGGUUUU